rnacentral:tRNA from 1 species
GCCGGGGUGGCGGAAUAGGCAGACGCAGCGGACUUAAAAUCCGCCGGAAUAAAAUCCUUGUGGGUUCGAGUCCCACUCCCGGCACCA